rnacentral:rRNA from 1 species
UACGGGGGGGGCAAGCGUUGUUCGGAUUUACUGGGCGUAAAGGGCUCGUAGGUGGCCAACUAAGUCAGACGUGAAAUCCCUCGGCUUAACCGGGGAACUGCGUCUGAUACUGGAUGGCUUGAGUUUGGGAGAGGGACGCGGAAUUCCAGGUGUAGCGGUGAAAUGCGUAGAGAUCGGGAGGAACACCCGUGGCGAAGGCGGCCAUCUGGACCAGUACUGACGCUGAGGCACGAAAGCGUGGGGAGCAAACAGG